UACGUAGGGUGCAAGCGUUGUCCGGAAUUAUUGGGCGUAAAGAGCUCGUAGGCGGUUUGUCGCGUCUGCUGUGAAAACUCGGGGCUCAACUCCGAGCUUGCAGUGGGUACGGGCAGACUAGAGUGUGGUAGGGGGAGACUGGAAUUCCUGGUGUAGCGGUGGAAUGCGCAGAUAUCAGGAGGAACACCGAUGGCGAAGGCGGGUCUCUGGGCCGAUACUGACGCUGAGGAGCGAAAGCGUGGGGAGCGAACAGG
rnacentral:rRNA from 1 species